ensembl:lncRNA
UGCUAGUCAGGCGUGCGGGUGCAGGCAACGAACGGUUGAAAAGCAUGCAUUUGGUUUUACUAGCGUUUAAGAGCAGUUGGAGGCCACGGAAGGAGUGUUGUAUGGCAUUGAAGCUCGUUUGGAGGUUAGAUAGCACAGUGUCCAAGGACGGGCUAGAAGUAUAUAGAAUGGUGUCGUCUGCGUAGAGGUGGAUCAGGGAAUCGCCCGCAGCAAGAGCAACAUCAUUGAUAUAUACAGAGAAAAGAGUUGGCCCGAGAAUUGAACCCUGUGGCACCCCCAUAGAGACUGCCAGAGGACCGGACAGCAUGCCCCACAUAUAUACCCCACUUUGGACAAUCCUCCUCUGCAAUGCUUACAUCUUCUGGUUUGACAGGAAGAGGGUAACAGGAUACUAAACCCUUAGGUUGCAAGAUCGGUUCCCCGAGCUGACAAGGUACAAAUCGUUCGUUCUGCCCCUGAACAAGGCAGUUAACCCACUGUUCCUAAGCCAUCAUUGAAAAUAAGAAUGUGUUCUUAACUGACUUGCCGAGUAAAAUAAAAAUAAAUAAAUAAAAAUUGUGUCGACGACCGGCUCCCUCCUAGUCAGGUUGUGUCGACGACCGGCUCCCUCCUAGUCAGGUUGUGUCGACGACCGGCUCCCUCCUAGUCAGGUUGUGUCGACGACCGGCUCCCUCCUAGUCAGGUUGUGUCGAUGACCGGCUCCCUCCUAGUCAGAUUAUAUUGACGACUGCCUCCCUCUAGUCACUAGUGUGUCUUAUUUAUUUAAUCAAACAGCGUUUAAAGCAUCAUAUGUUCAGUACAUAUAGAUUUUAUAAAAACAAGUGGGGCGAUUGAUAGAAAUUACAGAUGACUCUUGGUUGACCGUGGAUCAAAUCCAGGCUGUAUCAUAACCGGCCGUGAUUGGGAGUCCCAUAGGGCGGCGCACAAUUGGCCCAGCGUCGUCCAGGGAACGCAGUCAUUGUAAAUAAGAUUUUGUUCUUAACUGAUUUGCCUAGUUAAAUAAAGGUUACAUUUAAAUAAUUUUUAAAAAGUGAUUCAUUGACAAACCAUAUUUUACAAAUCCGUCAAGGCACCAAAACAAAGGUUUCAAACCAAUUCAUGAAUGUAAUUGAAUCUAGGUGUCUUGCCUUUAAUGUAAGGGCAUGAAAAAAAAUGGCUGACAAUGACUUAUCAACAGCUCUAAUAAUUUGCCCUCACAGGAAAUCUACACUGGCAAUUAUA